AUGCAUCUAUUUGACACAUGAAACAGUUACUGCCUGCUGCUAUGGUUUCCACUACAGAUGCAAGAAGAGUAUCUUCAUGCUUUCAUGGGAUUGCUGCUGCCAUGAUUGAAUGAGGAAUACAGGG
rnacentral:snoRNA from 1 species